CCAUUUCGACAGUUCUACUAUCGUUGUUGUUCUGCUCAUUGCUUUCAUUUUCACCAGACAUUUCUUCAAGCGAUUUGCCUUUGGAUUCAGGCACCAAGAAAGUGAAGAGAAUACCCAAGAAGUUAAUCACACCCAACACGAGAAGCGAGUUCCUGACCCCAAUCCCUGGAGGGUAUCCUGCGUCUGUCUUGUUCUUGUCAGGGCUUUGAGCCAAGUACAAGAAUCCAAACGCACCAACCAUCGCACCAAGCUUUCCUGAUGCGGCAGAGAUACCAUGACAUGUUGAUCUGAACCUAGCUGGGAAGAUUUCUGCCGGCACGACGAAUGUUGUAGCAUUGGGUCCAAAGUUAGCAAAAAAGAAUGUUAAGGAGUACAUGAUAACGAAUCCAAUGCGGUUGUCCUUGUGAGUCCAGUGGUUGUACGGAAUAGCCAAAGCGAACAUAAAGACCGUCAUGAAAAAGAAUCCCAUCAGCUGAAUGGCGAAUCUUCCAAUGACGUCAAUGAACACAACUGUGAACCAGUAACCAGGAACCGUGCUACACAAGGCGAUGAGGGUUUGCGCACGCGCGAUCUUGAAAACUUCUUGAACCGCGUUCAUGGUCUGAGCCGGAGGGAUCCACCCGAUCGCGCUGAAAAUAUCUUUCUGGAAAAGGUUUUGACUGUAGAAAGCGAUGUCGAGAAGGAACCAUGUUGAUGUAGUGCCAAGCAAGUGAAGUCCAUGGCGUUUCAUGAAUUGCUUGGAAAACAAGGAAAAGGAUUUGGACUUAUCCGUUGAAAUCUCUUCCAAAAUCUGUUCCGGCUCUAUCUCCACUUGCAGAACCCUAGACAUGUCUGAAGCAGCUUGCUGUGCGUUUUUAGCAACCAAAGCUGUGUAUCUCGCGGUUUCCGGCAUCUUGGACCUUGAGUAAUACGUCAUCGACGCAGGGAUAGCACCAAACAUGAGGAUUAUACGCCAUACAAAAUCUGCUUGAGGUACCGUGGAUCUCAAGGCAUCAUCCGCAUAGGCCGGCGCUGGGAACUUAGCAUCAAAUAUAGAGGAAAUGAUAAUAGCAAAGAUGCCACCAGCCAUGAUCCCAAACCCUUGCAUUGCGAAAACAGCUGAGAUAAACGCUCCACGUGUCUUCUUGUUAGCGUAUUCAGACAUGAUUGUUGCGGAUAAAGGAUAGUCACCACCAAUCCCAAACCCUAGCCAAAACCUAAAGAAACAUAGCGUGGCCAUCACGGUUUUUGGUUUGUCUCCAAAAGAGAGACCAGAGGCUAUGGAGCAAAGAACCAUGAUCAUCAACGUCAUGCCAUACACUUUCUUCCUCCCGAGCUUAUCACCAAGCCACCCGAAAAACAGCUGACCGGCAAGGGUCCCACAGAAGGCAACACCGUUGGUGGCAGCAGCAACAUUGGGAGGGAGAGUCCCUGGCUUAUGGGAGCCUUCUUCGUGGUAGUAAAUGCGGCCGAGUAGCUUUGUGACAAGAGAGAUGCAGAAGAGAUCGUAUGCAUCGGUGAAGAAUCCCAUUCCAGCAAUUACAAUCGCAGUAAAAUGGUACCAUUGCGUCUUGGCUACGUCAAGUGCAUUCAAAACUUGUAACUGAUUAUCUGCCAUUCUUCACUUCUGUAAUUUCAUCAAAAAAAAAAUCAACAUUAGUAAUUUUUUAGUAGCAUAUUAAAGCUCGAACAUCUAAAUAAUGGACUGAUCGUAUAUUUUCAAAUAUUACUAAAAAAGUUUCAUUUACUAAAGACAACUCCAUUGUUUUUAAUUUUAUAAAGAUUUGAUAAGCAAUUAUUAUUAUUUUUUUUUGAACUAAUUUUGUUGUUAAGCAAUUAUACAGACAUGAAAAUAGUGAUGUGUAAUUCAUAAGUUAUAUGCUCUACAUUUUUCGGGAAAAGAUGAUAUGGCUCUUUACCUCCACGUAACCAAAUCUUAAAAAGUAAACGAUGAUGUGGUAGGUCUGUCUAUACAUGUAUAUGAAUUAAGGCCUAAUUUCCUAUGAAUUAAUCCAAAACAAAACAAAAAUUUCUAGAAGGGGAGAGGUAAGAUCCAAGUCUAAAACUCUACAAGAGAACUUAUAGUAAUAAUGAUCCAAGAAAGUGGAAAACACAGCUUGAUUAAAAGAGCAAUAGUAGAAUCAAAUCAGAUUGACUAACAUUAUUUUUCAUCCUUAAAAAAGGUAUGGAUUGUCAAAUUAUACAUAAACAUCCACAAACAUUAUUAAUGAAAAACAAAAAGACUUAAAUUAAUAUACAAUCUUCUUCUACGUGUGAAAUGAUCUGAUCUCUGGGAAAAAUGUAGAGAUGGCGGCAAAGAAAGUGAAGUGGGCGUUGAAGCUACUGAUCGAUGAACAAGGAGGAUAUAUAGUGCAACCGUUUUGAAACCGCCAUUUAUAAGCAAGUAUAUAUGAGAUAUUCAACUAGGACAGGCUGUUCUGUUUUGCUGCAAAUAUUUAUAUUUUAUCAUUGAAAACAUAGCUGGUCCAAUAUUAUAACACGUUCUUGGUGUUUUUCCCGUAUUGACCAUGAUUUGUUUUCUGAUACGGAGAGUUUAAUGCUUGCAAAACGCAAAAUUUUAAUUCUGGGAACUUCACUAUUUAAUACAAUCACCAGAUACCUAUUACCUGCCAUACGGUUUAGGCAGAUAUAAGUUUCAAAUACUAAUAAAGUAUAAGUAAAAUUUUGUCCAAAAAAUUAAAAAUAAAAUAAAAUAAGUAAAAUGUCGUACACUCUUAAAACAAAAAAAUUAGAAGAAGAAACAAGAUUAAUUAGAAGAAGAAACAAGUUUCAAUUAGGAGUGUGUUCAAACUUUGAUUACUUAUUAAAAAAUCUUCUGCUUGACAAAUAUGUUAUGAAAUUUUAGUAAUAAUUUGUAUAACUCAAUGACGUGAACAAAAAAUUAGAAGAAGAAACAAGUUUCAAUUAGGACUGUGUUCAAACUUUGAUUACUUAUUAAAAAAAUCUUCUGCUUGACAAAUAUGUUAUGAAAUUUUAGUAAUAAUUUGUAUAACUCAAUGACGUGAACAAAAAAAAUUAGAAGAAGAAACAAGAUUAAUACAACAAACAUUUAUUUUGUUGACAGUUUAUGCCCAAAAUGUUAUAUCAUGCCAAUGUAUUUUUAUUUAGUAAUAUUAGAUAUGUAUCUAACUUUGUUUUAGUAAAAAGAGCAGAAAUGCAGGAUGAACAUAUCUACAGAAACAGCCUACAGUGUUAAUGGUUUUUAAUAGAAUAAUUUUAUCAUUUUUACUAUGUAUAGAAAUAAAUAUAUUUUUGCUAGAAAAUCAUUCACUGAUUCUAGAAUGAUUGCAACAUAGAAGAGAGACUGCAUAACUGAACCACAAAGAGAUUACAGUGAUCUUUUCCAAUCCUAACAUAAAAGAGUUUUUCUACAGAUUUUCAAGAGGCAUUUUCACACAACAAAACGUGAAAUAAAUAUUUAUUGUAAAGUGAUAGUAAGGCUCAUGACUUCCAACUGUAAAUUUUGUGUAACAUAAUUAUAUAUUAAUAUAAAACUUGUUUGUUUUUCUAGCUUAGUUGAUCUCACGAUUACAAACCAUAGAGGAUGUUGACAAAACCUGAAGAAAGUUAACAGGCAUAUAUGAAGCCAUUAGUAAAUUAAAUGAAAAUUUAUUUUCAAACAAAAAUAAGAGGUGAUGGUACAUUUUUAGUCUACUUAUCUUGAAAGAAGGCAAACGUUUUUAAAUGGAAGGAAAAAAAACUGAACUGAUGGUAUUCCACAUUUUUCAGUAUAUUGAGCUAAUUUGCUCAAAAUCUUAAAGGGUAAAACUGAUCAACCAUGUGUAACUCAUAAAUCAUAGGUUUGGAACAAUGAAAUCCUAAUUCAGAUAUUUAACUACUAAUAAAGUAAUUAUCACAAUUUUUCGGCGGAUUUCAGUAACUACCUCACUUGUUGCCCUGAACCAACCGAUAGAGAAGAAUAUUUCUUUUAAAAUCGGUACACAGACAUUUUCAUUUCAAUAGCAUUAGAACAUCAAAAUAUCAAAUGAAGAACAAAUUAAGUUGCUAGAAACAAGAAGACAAGAGAAAAAUAGAAACAAAGGGCUUCUUAUAUCAAACUAUACUAUUGGGACCGUUCUACUAUCACUUUUUGUGUUCUCAUUGUCUUCAUUUUCACCGGACAUUUCCUCAAGCGACUUCCCUUUAGAUUCAGGUACCAAGAAAGUGAAGAGAAUACCCAAGAAGUUAACCACACCUAACACGAGAAGCGAGUUCCUGACUCCAAUACCUGGAGGGUAUCCUGCGUCUGUCUUGUUCUUGUCAGGGCUUUGAGCCAAGUACAAGAACCCAAACGCACCAACCAUCGCACCUAGUUUACCUGAUGCAGCAGAGAUACCAUGGCAGGUAGAUCUGAACCUGGCUGGGAAGAUCUCCGCCGGUACAACGAAGGUUGUAGCAUUGGGUCCAAAGUUAGCAAAAAAGAACGUCAAGGAGUACAUGAUAACGAAUCCAAUUCGGUUCUCCUUGUGAGUCCAGUGGUUAUACGGAAUAGCCAAAGCAAACAUAAAGACCGUCAUGAAGAAGAAUCCCAUCAUCUGAAUCGCAAACCUUCCAAUGACGUCUAUAAAAGCAACUGUGAACCAGUAACCAGGUACCGUGCUACACAAGGCAAUGAGAGUUUGCGCGCGUGCGAUCUUGAAAACUUCUUGAAUUGCGUUCAUAGUUUGAGCCGGAGGUAUCCACCCGAUUGCGCUGAAAAUAUCUUUUUGGAAUAGGUUUUGACUGUAGAAAGCGAUGUCGAGAAGGAACCAUGUUGAUGUAGUUCCUAGCAAAUGAAGUCCAUGGCGUUUCAUAAAUUCCUUGGAAAACAAGGAAAAGGCUUUGGACUUAUUACUUGAGAUCUCUUCCACUUUCUCCUGUUCUGCCUCUAUCUCCACUUGAAGAACCCUAGACAUGUCUGAAGCAGCCAGCUUUGCGUCCUUAGCAACCAAAGCUGUGUAUCUUGCGGUUUCAGGCAUCUUGGACCUUGAGUAAUACGUCAUGGCCGCAGGGAUAGCACCAACCAUCAAGAUUAUACGCCAUACAAGAUCUGCUUGAGGUACCGUGGAUCUCAAGGCAUCUUCCGCAUAGGCCGGGGCAGGGAACUUAGCUUCAAAAGCAGAGGAAAUGAUUAUAGCAAAGAUGCCACCAGCCAUGAUCCCAAACCCUUGCAUAGCGAAAACCGCAGAAACAAACGCGCCACGAGUUUUCUUGUUAGCGUAUUCAGACAUGAUUGUUGCGGACAAAGGAUAGUCACCACCAAUCCCAAACCCUAGCCAAAACCUAAAGAAACAUAGCGUGGCCAUCACGGCUUUUGGCUCGUGUCCGAAAGAGAGACCAGAGGCGACAGAGCAAAGGACCAUGACCAUCAACGUCAUUCCAUAAACUUUCUUCCUCCCGAGCUUAUCUCCAAGCCACCCGAAAAAGAGUUGACCGGCUAGGGUUCCACAGAAGGCGACGCCGUUCACGGCAGCAGCAACAUUGGGAGGGAGAGUCCCUGGCUUUGCGGAGCCUGGGACGUGGUAGUAAAUGCGGCCAAGGAGCUUGGUGACAAGAGAGAUGCAGAAGAGAUCGUAAGCGUCGGUGAAGAAUCCCAUUCCGGCGAUUAUGAUGGCUGUAAAAUGGUACCAUUGCGUCUUCGCUACAUCGAGUGCAUUCAACACUUUUAACUGAUCCCCAGCCAUUCUUGUUCACCUCUGUAAUUUCAUCAAGAACUCAAUAUUAGCAAAUUUUAGUAGUAUGAAUCAUAUAAGAACGACUGCUCGUAGAUUUUCAAAUAAUAGUAAAAACUAUCUCUUGGAACUAAGAAAGAGUUCGUUACAAACAUUAAAGCACUUGGCCAACUUGGAAUUAAGUUAGGCAAUUUUAAAAGCAAAAGAAUUAAAUAUUUAAACCCCACUUGAAAUUUAAUGUUAUACUAUAGUAUAUGAGUUUUAUUUCUCAUUUCUCAUUUCUCAUUUCGUUUAUCUCAUAAUCAUAAGCCAAAAAGUAUGUUGACCUAAAUAAGAAAGAAAAAAAAAAGUAAGGUAUGUUAAUCAAGCCUGAAGUAAGGUGGUAACUGGCGAUUCUAAAGCCAUUAGUAAACUACAUAGUCUACAUGUAAAAUAACUUAAUUAUAAGCAUUCACAUAAUAUAAAAGAAAAUGAAGGGAUGACAAAUGUCAAGUGUUUUAUUUAUUAUUAAACCGUAUUAUGCAGAAAUGAAAGUAACUAAGUAUGUAACUUGUUUUCAAAAAAUUGAUUCCAAGAUUUUCGACUUUUCCAAAAUAAAUUAAUAAUUGAUUAUAUUAUUUUGGUUUCUUCACUCGUACGUAACAAAUCUUUUAAAGUAAACGAGGAAAUGGGAGGUCUAUAUAUUUAUAUGAAUUUUCAACGAUUACUAUAUUAUCUUUACUCUAUAGUCACCCACGAAGGUUGACUUGUGACAUUUGAAUCUGAACACGAUACCAAAAUUUCUCACGAGUAAGAGAGCAAGUUGUUUUGUCUUAAUUGCGGAUACACUUACUCCUCAAAUUAAAUACGGAGUAUAGUUUUUCCUCUUAUUGAAGACAUUAUAUUUUUAUUUUCUUUUUAUUAGAGUAACAUAAUUUUCGUUAUUUAUGUGCUUGUAAAUCAUCUGAUUCAUGCACUUAUAAAAAAUGUCUAUAUUAAGGCAGAGAUAAGAUCAAACAAAUACGUUUUCAAGAAAACGAAUCCUAAUUAAUGAUCCAGAAAAUUGGAAAACAUAAUUUGAAUUUUUUUUUUAAAGCAACAAUAAGAGAAUCACAAACAAAUGAAGCUCAGAUUGAUCCAAAAUCACUACUGACAAAUACCUAACCGAGAUAGAAGAGGCAGAAUGGACAAAAUAACAUCAUUCAGCAACCAUACAAUUGCCAAAUUUUAUAUAAACAUCCGAAAACAUAAUGAAAAGAAAAACGUACAUGAAUAUACAACAGUCUUCUUGUUAUGUGUGUGGGAUAUGAUAUGAUCAAGUGUUUAAGGUAUAUGUCAGAAGAGUGCAGAGAGAAAGGUCCUCUAGUUUCCUCUAUUUCUGGGGAAAAUGAAGAGAGAUGGAAGGAGAGGAAGUGAAAUGAGCGUUGAAGCUGUUGAUGAACAAGGACAAAGUGCAAGCGUUUUGAAACGACCAUUUAUAAGCGACUCUAUAAGAGAUAUUCCAUUUUAUGUUUCGGUAUAUUCUCCCUCUAGCGACGCCGUUUUCUAUCUUCAAUAUUUUUUCUCUCUUUUUAUUACAACUUUUAUUUCGCUGUAAUUAUUCUUUUAUUAUCUAAAAACAGCUGUUUUACUAUAAUAAUAAGUUCUUGUUUUGUACUUGUAAUUGACCAUGAACUGUACUUAGAUACGGAGGUUUUGAUGUAUUUUUAUAAUAUUAAAUUGGGAUCUUCAACAUUAAGUACAAUCACUAGAUACCUAUUCUCUGGCAUGCUAUUUAGGCAGAUAUAAAAUUUAAAUCAUAAUAGAGUCAAAAUAGGGGUUAAAAAAUGAGAGACUUACAUAAAAAGACACAUUGUGAGUUUUGUUUACUCUAUAAGACACAAAGCAACUUUGACACACUUUUUCCUGCCAGCUGUCUUUAUUGAGACGGAAAUAACCUUGGUUAUUACUAAAGAGAAAUAUACUUAUUUUAAGGAAGCAAACCGAAAAAGAACCAGUUACCUUGUAAUUGCAAUAAAGGAUAAAGCAAUAAAACAAAAAAUUAGAUAUAUGAGUUUAUGAGAAUAUAUCGUGAACGUCAGAUCAUUUUGAAGAAAGCAAAUCCAACGAUCCGGAGAUGUGUUGAUUUGUGGGCGAGUUUUUGUGGACGAAUUCUCAUGGACAAGGUUUCUCGUAGACAAUUUGUGGACACCAUAUAUGUGGACAAACAAAUUGGUAGACAAGAGAAGCGUUGAUAACAUGAUUUUAUCGAAUGUUAUAGAAAAUAAUUGCCUUCUUUGUCUGUCUAAGAAAAAAAUGAGAAUUGUUUAUUAACUUCUUGUAUACUCGAUUUAGAUAUUUAUAAAUUGAAUAAAGAAGAAAUUUUUUUGUGAAUCAAUGAAUUAUGGAUCUAAUUCGUCAUUUAGUAAAAUUUCUCUAUAAAAUCAUUCAUCAUUCAUCAUUAUCAUGAAACAACGAUUAAGCUUUUCUGUGGACACAAUUCAGUGGUCGAACACACUUCUGUGGACACAGUUUAUGUGGACGUGAAAAUGUUACAAAAUUUUCUGUGGACACCGUAUCUACCACCACCUUUUCCACCUCAUGUCUUCCACCUCAUAUUCACAUCCACCACCACAACAUCCACCAACACGGCAUCCACCACCACUUCCUCCUCCUCGCAUCUUCCACCUUUGUAUCCACAUCCACCACAACAGCAUCCACAGCCACGACAUCCACCACCACAUCCUCCUCCUCACGUCUUCCACCUCCGUAUCAACAUCCACCACCAUAGCAUCCACCAUCACGGCAUCCAUAAUCACCACCAGCUCUUCAUCCUCACGUCUUCCACCUCUGUAUCCACAUCCACCACAACGGCAUCCACCACCACCUCCUCCUCUCGAGUAGCCACCUCCACCACUGUUUUUACCCUCAUGAACCAAGAUAAAAAAUCAGACAAGAAAUUAACUUUCCAUAUAUGAAUCUGUUAGAUAUAUCUAUGAAAUUAGGAACAUAGAGUUAUGAUUGAGAAUGGAUUGGAGUUUCUGAAUUCAUGGUGUGACUCACCAAUGGUCGAGUAUGAAGAGUUGGCGGAACAGUUUCAGAUCGAAUAAAAGCUAGAAGUGGAGACAUAAAGCUUCAACAAAGUGAUGGAGAUGUCGAAUUUGAGAAAGUGGAUUAGGGUUCGGAUCGAUCUGUAGUUUUAGUAGAAGUUGGUAAAGAGCCAAAAUUAGGGUUCAUAUCUGGGGGUAAUCGAUUUUGAAAAGGGGAUCUGUCUUACAAAAGUGAAAAAGAUUUUAUUAUAUUUCGAAAUUUUUUAUUUUCCUCACUAGUUUUCUAAUCGUUAUAAUGAAAAUGAGAAAAUCGGUUGGUUCAGUUUCUUGGUUUACGAUCUAGUUAGACACUUAUCCAAUAGUUAUUCUUUACAUAGAUAAGGGGUAGUUAUGACAAUUUACUAAGAGAAAGUGUCUACUUGGGCCAAAGUGUCUAUGAGAGUAAUUCAUAACUUGGAAUGUGUCUCUGAGAGUAAAUUUCUCUUAAAAAAUUCUAACAAAAUGAAUUCAGUUAGCAUUUAGCAGUGUGGUCAGACUUUGGUUACUUAUAAAAAACUACACUAUGUUUGCCUAAUUCGAGACAAUCAUUUAAUUUUAAAAUAUUAGAAUUUGAUGACACACUAUCUUAUAAAGUUGUAAUAAUAACUUUUAAUUUGAAUAAAAAUAAACUUAGGGACGUGAACAAAAGUAUUUAGACGAAGAAAUCAACAUUGAUACAACAAGCAGUUAUUUUACGGCAAAAAGUUAUUUUAACAAUUUUUAAAAAAAAAUUAGUGAUUUUUGAUAUGUACAAAACUUUUUUAAAGUGAAAGAAGAGUAACUGCAUGAUAUCUAUAUCUACAGAGUACAUACUACAAUGUCAACUGUACUUAUUUGGGUAUGGCCAGGCCGUAUGGGAAUAACACCUAUUGUAAGGCUCAUCACUUGUGGAAUGGUAUGUUUCGUAUCUGACAAGUAAGAGACUUUAAUGCAUUUCCAGAAAUACAAGUGUAUCUUGCUUAGUUGUUUUAGCCCAGCAAGCUACCUUCUUUCUCUUCCGUGACCCAACAAGUUUUUUUUUCAUGGCAUCUUAAUUUCCAUCUAUUAUUAUUAUGUAGUAAUAUUUUAUACAAUAAUGACCCUCGUUUUUAAUGAUUUAUAAAAUAAUUCAAUGGUGUUAAAAAAAAUACAAUAAUACUACUCCCUCCGUUCCCUAAAAUUACAUAUUAUAGAGAAAAAUCUUGUUUCAAAAAAAUCUAUUUUUUACAUUUUCAAUACAUAUUUUAUUAAUUAAUUGCAAACUUCAAAAAACUUAAUUGCACUAGUUGAAUUUUUAUUGGUUUAAAAUUAUGAAAAAAGAUAAACACAAAAAAAUAUAUAAAUUUAAUAUGUUUUAUUAAAAUGUGUGAAAAAUUUAGAAUAUGUAAUUUUAAGGAACAGAGAGAGUAUUUAGUAAUGCUCUAUAGUCUAUAUACAUGUCUUUCACGUGAAAUAAUUUCGUGAUGGAGUUAUACAAUCACAAUUUCUUUUCAUUUGGCGAAAACAUUAUGAAAUCUACACCAGUUGAUUUCAUAAUCUAUUUUAUUAAAGAAGACCCAAAACUGAAAUGUUUGAUCCAUAAAAAUGCUGGUUUAUGGUACACUAAAAACAUAUUGGAAUAAUAAUGCAUAUCUAUCUGCUGCUAAACCGUUUCGAUUACAUAGCAAAACGCAUAAAAUGGUAAACAAAUUUACAACUAAUAUAGUACGUAUGCUACGUUGAAAAAAUCACAUAAGCACAUGAAAUUAGCUACAGACUUACGAGCUACAUAUUUCCAAGCUUCUACAGAUGGAAAAUUGUCAACCUGAUUGCUCAACUAUCAUUCAAUUUUCAUGACAUUUCAAGAUGUUAUUCCUUCAAUUCAUGAUGACUUUUGUUGUAAAAACACAAGAUUUCAAGGCCUUACGUUCUUCGCAUGGUGCAAAAACGAUAUUUAUUUUUAGAUGAUAUGAUGGAUUAUGGGUUCCUGUGUUCGACCGAUGAUUACGAUCCCAAAGCGAUUUUUUUUGAGAAUAGUAAAAAUGUUUUGAUUUCCUCGUUACUUACUUAUAAAUUAUUAGUAUAUUUUAGAAACUUGGUUUCAAAAAACUGUUUAUAAAUUAUUGUAUUCUUUUAUUUUCUUCCUGCCUAGACGUUAGCAAGUAGUACCAACAAACAAAAUAUAUUAAAAUUGAUGGCUUGACUCUAUCCAUAUCAGAGUUGACUAAUUAAAUGUUGAUGUCUUUGGUAUGACAUAUUACGUCGAUGUGUUGAAAUGUUUUUUUUUUUUUUGAUAAAGGGCUUGCUAUUAACUUAAAAGAGAAAACGUACAUAAAGACUACAGCCCAGCCAGGCAUUUGUUUCUUGGGUCUAGCCCAUUAGUUAAAGACAACAAAAAGAAAUCCUUUUAGGAGGCCCAUUUUAAGAAACCAGUCGAGAAAGAGGGGAAUUGUCGAUACAUCUUCGUUAUGAGUCAUGCAGAGAUUCGGCGAGACCAGCUGAGAGAGAUGAAGUGCGAACCUGAGCCCGGAAUGCUGAAAGAGGGAGUUCUUCAUGGUGAAGACAUCCAAAUAUUGAAGAGCGCUGAUGAGAGAGGUGGUGAGGAUAAUCUGAUGGAGGCAAUUUUUGUUCUGAUGGUAGAGAUGACCAGAGAAGAGAUUGAGUCCGGUGAUCGGAAUGUAUUGCGGUGGAGGCGGUUGUUUCUCUCAGUCCAGAUGAGGUAGAUCACACAUUGCCAAGUGAGGAGACAGAGUAGCUUAUGUCUGUUAUUGCUUGUAAAGGUGACUUCUCUGUCCAUAAUUCCAUCGUUCACAUUGGACGGAUCCUUUUUCUAGUUACGGAAGGUCUAAUCAAUUAAUCACACGAUUAUUAUGUAAAUUAUAUGUCUGUUAGAUGAAGCAUUUAAUCCUCUGCAUCCACACAUGGAGACCACUAAUAGCAAGCGAAAACGAAUAAUGAUGUUAGAUGAAGCGUUUAAUCCUCUGCAUCCACACAUGGAGACCAUUAAUAGCAAGAGAAAACGAAUACAAUCCUAGUACCCUUCACAUCAUGAGAUUAUAACCAGUUUUUUGGAGUUGAUUUUGAAACGUUUAGACUUUAUUAAAGUAUAUGAGUACAAAUUAGAGCAUCCCCCUAAGAGGAAAAGCUUGAUAAAUAGAUUGAGGACCACAAGAAGUUGUGGCUCCGGCGUUAUCUUAUCAUUAAUGUUUGAUUCAUGUAGAAAAAUAUAUACAAGAUAUUUUGAAUUUAUGCCUAGUCCAUCAAUCUAUGCUACUCCAUUCAUCCAUAUGUAAAAUCCGAAAGGAUUAUUAAAAUUUAUUGACCAUGUGUAACUCAUAAAUCUUAGGUUUGUAACAAUCAAUUCACCAUUCAGAUAUUUAACUACUAAUUCAGUAAUUAUUAUUCGGCACUGGAUUUCAGUAACUACCUCACUUGUUGCAUUAAUAAAAAAACAAUGAAGAAGAACAUUUCUUUUUAAAAUCGAUACACAAACAUUUUGAUUUCAAUAGCGUUAGAACAUCAAAAUAUCAAACAUCAAAAUAUCAAAAUAUCAAACGAAGAACAACUUAAGUUGAUAGAAACAAAAAGACUUAUUAAAUCAAACUACACAAUGGGGACCGUUCUACUAUCACUUGUUGUGUUCUCAUUGUCUUCAUUUUCACCGGACAUUUCCUCGAGCGACUUCCCUUUAGAUUCAGGCACCAAGAAAGUGAAGAGGAUGCCCAAGAAGUUAACAACACCUAACACGAGAAGCGAGUUUCUGACUCCAAUCCCUGGAGGAUAUCCUGCGUCUGUCUUGUUCUUGUCAGGGCUUUGAGCCAAGUACAAGAAUCCAAAGGCACCAAC
rnacentral:lncRNA from 1 species